rnacentral:rRNA from 1 species
AUUGAACGCUGGCGGCAGGCCUAACACAUGCAAGUCGGACGGUAGCACAGAGAGCUUGCUCUCGGGUGACGAGUGGCGGACGGGUGAGUAAUGUCUGGGAAACUGCCCGAUGGAGGGGGAUAACUACUGGAAACGGUAGCUAAUACCGCAUAACGUCGCAAGACCAAAGUGGGGGACCUUCGGGCCUCACACCAUCGGAUGUGCCCAGAUGGGAUUAGCUAGUAGGUGGGGUAAUGGCUCACCUAGGCGACGAUCCCUAGCUGGUCUGAGAGGGAUGAACGGCCACACUGGAACAGAGACGCGGUCCAGACUCCUGCGGGAGGCAGGAGUGGGGAAUAUUGCACAAUGGGCGCAAGCUUGAGGCAGCCAUGCGGGGUGUAGGAAGAAGGCCUUCGGGUUGUAAAGUACUUUCAGCGGGGAGGAAGGCGGUGGAGUUAAUAACUUCCCCGAUUGACGUUACCCGCAGAAGAAGCACCGGCUAACUCCGUGCCAGCACCCGCGGUAA